GGGGUUGUGGCUCAGAGGUAGAGCGCUUGCCUAGCAUGCAAGAGGCACUGGGUUUGAUCCUCAGCACCACA
rnacentral:tRNA from 1 species